AAUCCAUAGGUUAAUGAGGCGAACCGGGGGAACUGAAACAUCUAAGUACCCCGAGGAAAAGAAAUCAACCGAGAUUCCCCCAGUAGCGGCGAGCGAACGGGGAGGAGCCCAGAGCCUGAAUCAGCAUGUGUGUUAGUGGAAGCGUCUGGAAAGGCGCGCGAUACAGGGUGACAGCCCCGUACACAAAAGCGCAUGUGCUGUGAGCUCGAUGAGUAGGGCGGGACACGUGGUAUCCUGUCUGAAUAUGGGGGGACCAUCCUCCAAGGCUAAAUACUCCUGACUGACCGAUAGUGAACCAGUACCGUGAGGGAAAGGCGAAAAGAACCCCGGCGAGGGGAGUGAAAAAGAACCUGAAACCGUGUACGUACAAGCAGUGGGAGCACCCUUUGGGUGUGACUGCGUACCUUUUGUAUAAUGGGUCAGCGACUUAUAUUCUGUAGCAAGGUUAACCGAAUAGGGGAGCCGGAGGGAAACCGAGUCUUAACCGGGCGUUAAGUUGCAGGGUAUAGACCCGAAACCCGGUGAUCUAGCCAUGGGCAGGUUGAAGGUUGGGUAACACUAACUGGAGGACCGAACCGACUAAUGUUGAAAAAUUAGCGGAUGACCUGUGGCUGGGGGUGAAAGGCCAAUCAAACCGGGAGAUAGCUGGUUCUCCCCGAAAGCUAUUUAGGUAGCGCCUCGUGAAUUCAUCUCCGGGGGUAGAGCACUGUUUCGGCUAGGGGGCCAUCCCGGCUUACCAACCCGAUGCAAACUGCGAAUACCGGAGAAUGUUAUCACGGGAGACACACGGCGGGUGCUAACGUCCGUCGUGAAGAGGGAAACAACCCAGACCGCCAGCUAAGGUCCCAAAGUCAUGGUUAAGUGGGAAACGAUGUGGGAAGGCCCAGACAGCCAGGAUGUUGGCUUAGAAGCAGCCAUCAUUUAAAGAAAGCGUAAUAGCUCACUGGUCGAGUCGGCCUGCGCGGAAGAUGUAACGGGGCUAAACCAUGCACCGAAGCUGCGGCAGCGACACUGUGUGUUGU
rnacentral:rRNA from 2 species